rnacentral:rRNA from 1 species
CCUACGGGUGGCAGCAGUGGGGAAUAUUGGUCAAUGGACGAAAGUCUGAACCAGCCAUGCCGCGUGCAGGAUGACGGCUCUAUGAGUUGUAAACUGCUUUUGUAUUAGGGUAAGCACCCCUGCGUGUAGGGGCUUAAAAGUAUAAUACGAAUAAGGAUCGGCUAACUCCGUGCCAGCAGCCGCGGUCAUACGGAGGAUCCAAGCGUUGUCCGGAUUUAUUGGGUUUAAAGGGUGCGUAGGCGGUUUGAUAAGUUAGAGGUGAAAUCCCGGUGCUCAACACCGGAACUGCCUUUAAUACUGUUGAACUAGAGAGUAGUAGAGGUAGGCGGAAUGUAUGGUGUAGCGGUGAAAUGCGGAGAGAUCAGACAGAACACCGAUUGCGAAGGCAGCUUACCAAACUAUAUCUGACGUUGAGGCACGAAAGCGUGGGUAGCAAACAGGAUUAGAUACCCUAGUAGUC